rnacentral:rRNA from 1 species
AAAUCUGGCUCCUCGGGGCCCGAAUUGUAAUUUGUAGAAGAUGCUUUGGGUCUGGGCCUGGCCUAAGUUCCUUGGAACAGGACGUCGUAGAGGGUGAGAAUCCCGUAUGCGGCUGGCGCCCGUGCCCGUGUAAAGCUCUUUCAACGAGUCGAGUUGUUUGGGAAUGCAGCUCUAAAUGGGUGGUAAAUUUCAUCUAAAGCUAAAUAUUGGCCAGAGACCGAUAGCGCACAAGUAGAGUGAUCGAAAGAUGAAAAGCACUUUGGAAAGAGAGUUAAACAGUACGUGAAAUUGUUGAAAGGGAAGCGCUGGCAACCAGACUUGGGCGCUGUUGAUCCGCUAGGGUUCUCUCUAGGGCACUCGGCAGUGCGCAGGCCAGCAUCGGUUUGGGGGGUUGGAGAAUGGCUGGUGGAAUGUGGCUGUCUUCGGGCAGUGUUAUAGCCACCGGUGGCAUGCAGCCUCCCCGGACCGAGGACCGCGCUUCGGCUAGGAUGCUGGCGUAAUGGUUGUCAGCGACCCGUCUUGAAACACGGACCAAGGAGUCUAACAUCUAUGCGAGUGUUUGGGUGUUAAACCCAUACGCGGAAUGAAAGUGAACGUAGGUGAGAACCCGCAAGGGUGCAUCAUCGACCGAUCCUGAUGUCUUCGGAUGGAUUUGAGUAAGAGCAUAGCUGUUGGGACCCGAAAGAUGGUGAACUAUGCCUGAAUAGGGUGAAGCCAGAGGAAACUCUGGUGGAGGCUCGCAGCGGUUCUGACGUGCAAAUCGAUCGUCAAAUUUGGGUAUAGGG